AUACGGAGGAUGCAAGCGUUAUCCGGAUUUAUUGGGUUUAAAGGGUGCGUAGGCUGUUCGGAAAGUCAGGGGUGAAAGCCCGGCGCCUAACGCCGGAACUGCCUUUGAUACUUCCGAGCUGGAAUACGGAUGCCGUGGGAGGAAUGAGUAGUGUAGCGGUGAAAUGCAUAGAUAUUACUCAGAACACCGAUUGCGAAGGCAUCUCACGAAUCCGACAUUGACGCUGAGGCACGAAAGCGUGGGGAUCAAACAGGAUUAGAUACCCUGGUAGUCCACGCAGUAAACGAUGAUUACUAGCUGUUUGCGAUACAAUGUAAGCGGCUGAGCGAAAGCGUUAAGUAAUCCACCUGGGGAGUACGUUCGCAAGAAUGAAACUCAAAUGAAUUGACGGGG
rnacentral:rRNA from 1 species